CCACAAUGAAGAGCUGGAACUCCAACAGUGAAGUCUGCCUACAGGGGAAAAGUGACUAGUACCAGUCUGCCAUGUGGUCUGAGGAGGUGAUAAUGCUCUUCUCAGCUGGCUCUGGGCUACCACAUGAUCUGGAGGAACCUCAGCAGACAAGCAGAGCUGGGAGGCAGCUAGACUCUGAUUUUUGUUUUGCCAAAGUUAUUCCACUUUUCCUCCACUUAUUAAACACACUUCUGCUAUUUACUCUUCUUUUCCUCUUCCCUUGUCCCACUGUGGGGGUUGAGGAAGUGAGCGAGCAGCUGUGUGGUGCUUAGCUGUCUGCCAGGGGUCAACCCACAACACGAUCCUUGGAAAUAUCAAAACCCAACUGGACAUGGCCCUGAUCAACCUGCUAUAACUGACUGUGCUCUGAGCA